rnacentral:rRNA from 1 species
AACGAGACCUUAACCUGCUAAAUAGCCAGGUUCACUUAGGUGGGCCGCCGGCUUCUUAGAGGGACUUUUGGCUCAAGCCAAUGGAAGUACGAGGCAAUAACAGGUUAACCUUUGGGUGUUACGCUCAUCACAGGCCUGUGACAGUGGUACCUCGUUAAACAACAACCGCUAGUCGAGCAUCUUUGUUCCUUUUGGUGGAAGUCCACCGACUGUCGGGAAAGG